UUUCCAUCCACUGCCAGCCAGUAGUGCUGUCCAGUAGCAAUAUUAGCAGCAGCAGCAGCAGCUGCGGAGUAGCUGCAGCUGAGGAGUAAUUUCUGAAUUUCCUUCUCUUAAUUACAGCAAAUUGGAUUCUUGGAGGCGUUUUUUGUGGGAGCGAGAAUCAUGUGGACUUCAAUCUUCAACUCCAUUUCAUGUAUCAUAAUAGUUGAUUGCUAUUUUUAUGCAUUGAUGCCGAAUUAGAGCUUCAUGCAGUCUAAUUGUGUGUUGGAGUUGAAUUUGGAUGAAACUCUCUCCAUCGACCUUGUUGUUGAUCUUUGGUAAUGUUGGGGACUAACUUACCUUCAUCUUGAGCUAGUGGGAGAGUUGCUUGAGCUGAAUUGAAGGUUCAUGGAAGAUGAAUUUUAGUUUUAUUUAA